rnacentral:rRNA from 1 species
AGUGGGGAAUAUUGGACAAUGGGGGCAACCCUGAUCCAGCAAUACCGCGUGUGUGAAGAAGGCCUGAGGGUUGUAAAGCACUUUCAGUAGGGAGGAAGGCUGAGUAGUUAAUAGCUGCUUGGAUUGACGUUACCUACAGAAGAAGCACCGGCUAACUCCGUGCCAGCAGCCGCGGUAAUACGGGGGGUGCAAGCGUUAAUCGGAAUUACUGGGCGUAAAGCGCGCGUAGGCGGUUUGUUCAGUCGGAUGUGAAAGCCCAGGGCUCAACCUUGGAACUGCAUUCGAUACUGGCAAGCUAGAGUGUGAGAGAGGAUAGUGGAAUUUCCGGUGUAGCGGUGAAAUGCGUAGAUAUCGGAAGGAACAUCAGUGGCGAAGGCGACUGUCUGGCUCAACACUGACGCUGAGGUGCGAAAGCGUGGGUAGCAAACAGGAUUAGAUACCCUGGUAGUCCACGCCGUAAACGAUGUCAACUAGCCGUUGGGAGACUUGAUCUCUUAGUGGCGCAGCUAACGCGAUAAGUUGACCGCCUGGGGAGUACGGACGCAAGUUUAAAACUCAAAUGAAUUGACGGGGGCCCGCACAAGCGGUGGAGCAUGUGGUUUAAUUCGAUGCAACGCGAAGAACCUUACCAAUCCUUGACAUCCUCAGAACUUGUAAGAAAUUACUUGGUGCCUUCGGGACCUGAGUGACAGGUGCUGCAUGGCUGUCGUCAGCUCGUGUUGUGAAAUGUUGGGUUAAGUCCCGUAACGAGCGCAACCCUUAUCCUUAUUUGCCAGCACGUAAUGGUGGGAACUCUAAGGAGACUGCCGGUGACAAACCGGAGGAAGGUGGGGACGACGUCAAGUCAUCAUGGCCCUUACGGAUUGGGCUACACACGUGCUACAAUGGGCAGUACAGAGGGUCGCAACCCCGCGAGGGUGAGCUAAUCUCAGAAAGCUGUUCGUAGUCCGGAUUGGAGUCUGCAACUCGACUCCAUGAAGUUGGAAUCGCUAGUAAUCGCGAAUCAGAAUGUCGCGGUGAAUACGUUCCCGGGCCUUGUACACACCGCCCGUCACACCAUGGGAGUGGGUUGCACCAGAAGUAGCUAGACUAACCUUCGGGAGGUCGGUUACCACGGUGUGAUUCAUGACUGGGGUG